rfam:Triticum aestivum genome assembly, contig: Triticum_aestivum_CS42_TGACv1_scaffold_272179_3DS
CAUCUACUCCCUUCGUCCGAAAAAACUUGUCUCAAGCUUGUCCCUCAAAUGGAUGUAUCUAGCACUAACUUGAUGCUAGAUACAUUUAUUUGAAGAACAAGCUUUUUCGGACGGCGAGAGUAUGUC